rnacentral:rRNA from 1 species
AAUCAACGCUGGCGGCGUGCCUAACACAUGCAAGUCGAACGAGAAAGUGGGGGCAACUCCAUGAGUAAAGUGGCAGACGGGUGAGUAACACGUGAACAACCUACCCUUGAGUGUGGAAUAACACCGCGAAAGCGGUGCUAAUACCGCAUAACAUCUUCGGGUCGCAUGAUCUGGAGAUCAAAAACGCAAGUUGCUUGAGGAGGGGUUCGCGCCUGAUUAGCUAGUAGGUGAGGUAACGGCCCACCAAGGCUUCGAUCAGUAGCCGGUCUGAGAAGAUGAUCAGUCACACCGGAACUGAGACACGGUCCGGACGCCUACGGGAGGCAGCAGUGGGGAAUAUUGGACAAUGGGCGCAAGCCUGAUCCAGCAAUGCCGCGUGUGUGAAGAAGGCCUUCGGGUUGUAAAGCACUUUAGCCUGGAAAGAAAAAACUUUGGUUAACACCCAAAGUCUUGACGGUACCAGGAGAAUAAGCACCGGCUAACUCUGUGCCAGCAGCCGCAGUAA